rnacentral:rRNA from 1 species
CAUGAUUAAAGGGGUAUUUUCCGGUAGACGAUGGGGAUGCGUUCCAUUAGAUAGUAGGCGGGGUAACGGCCCACCUAGUCAACGAUGGAUAGGGGUUUUGAGAGGAAGGUCCCCCACAUUGGAACUGAGACACGGUCCAAACUCCUACGGGAGGCAGCAGUGAGGAAUAUUGGUCAAUGGGCGAUGGCCUGAACCAGCCAAGUAGCGUGAAGGAUGACUGCCCUAUGGGUUGUAAACUUCUUUUAUAAAGGAAUAAAGUCGGGUAUGCAUACCCGUUUGCAUGUACUUUAUGAAUAAGGAUCUGGCUAACUCCGUGCCAGCAGCCGCGGUAAUACGGAGGAUCCGAGCGUUAUCCGGAUUUAUUGGGUUUAAAGGGAGCGUAGAAGGAUGUUUAAGUCAGUUGGGAAAGU